CAAGUGGUACCUUUUCAUGCAUAUAGAUCAGACUCUUGUCUAAAUUUACCAUUUGUCCAGACACCUUUUCAUAAUCAAUCAAUACCUUCAUCAUUUUCUUCAUUGAGUAUGACUGACCUGAACAGAACAGUAUAGUAUCAUCAGCAUAACUCAAGUGAUUGGUCUCUUGGCUCCACUUUGGUAAACCAAAACCUUUGUACUUCUGAUCCUUGU
rnacentral:lncRNA from 1 species